AUGUAGAAUAUUAACCUAUUACCUGCCCUUAUAUUCACGCUUGCCAGAACCCUGUCAGCUGUAAACUACCAAGAUAUCCACCUUUGUAACUUUUUGGGGUUAUAAAAACCUCCCUGCUCUUAGACCAGAUGCUGUCCUCUGGUCCUGCAUUUGGGUGAGGCAGUUGCUGAUCAGGUCUCCUGUGUAUACAAUAUAAAAUUGCUUUAAUUUGGUUUAAAAUUGGAGUCAAUGGUCUUUUCUUUUGUCGUGGGUUCAACAGAGAACAGUGAAGCUUAAUUCAUUUCACUCCAGCUCCUGCCGCAAAAUGAGCUUUGUAAAUAAACUGUUUUGGAGUCUUGGGUGUCACUCAGUAGUAGGUCAAUGUGCAUGCAUGAGUCUUGGGUUUGAUGUCCAGCACACUUCAUAUAAACUAUUUUAGAAUCUGGUUUACAUAAAAGUUGGAAAGACAGUAGAGUGCCCAUAUGUCCCAGAAACCCAUCCAAGAGUCCCCAUUGCAGUCAGCUGCCAUGUCCCCUUAGGCUCCUCUUGGCUCUGACCUUCCUUGCUUUGAAUGGCUUCACCGUUUUGAGGAGCAGUGAUCAGGUAUUCCAUAGAGUGGCUCUCAGUUGAAUUUGUCUGAUAUUUUUGUCAUUAUUGGUCUGGGGUAAGGGGUCUUGAGAAGGAAGACCACAGAGGGGAUAUGCGCUUCUCCCGUCACAUGGAGGACAUAUAGGAGCCCCGUGACACAUCACCUUAAUGUUGACCCUGAUCCCUGCAUGAGGUCAUGUGUGUCCAGUUUCUCCUUACUCUCCCUUCCCCCAUCCAUACUGUCUUCUCUGGAAGGAAGUCACUAUUGCUGCUUGCAUAGAAGGUGUUGGGGGUGAUGCUUGCGGGAAGAGCAUCUACAUCAAUUACAAAAUAGUAUGGCAUAUUAAAAUAACUGGGCUGGGGGUGUUGCUCAGUGGUUGAGCACUUGCCUAACAUAUGCAAAGCCCUGGGUUCCAUCCCCAGAAUUCUGAAAGGAAAAUAAUAUAAUAACACUUGUUAGAAAUUUAAAAAGCUUCAGGAGCAUAUAAUUCACAUGCCAUAGAAUUCACCCGUUUGAAGUGAAUAAUUCAAUUUUUAAAAAUUUUUGUUCAACCCCCAUCAUGAUCUUCUUUUUCAAUAUUUUUAUCUCCCCUUAAAGAAGCCCCAAACCCAUUAGCGCUCACUCCCCAUUCCUUGCCUCUAAUGCCUCUCCAGGGUUUGGAAACCACUAAUCUAUUUUCCAUCCCUAUGAAUUUGGACAUUGCUUACAAGUGGGAUCAUUCAAUAUGUGAAUGUGUGUCUGGUUUCUUUCACUCAGCAUCUUGUUUUCCCAUUUCAUUCAUGUUGGAGUGUGUGUCAGUCUGUCCUUCCUUNCAUCUUUACUUUAUUUUGAUGUGGUGCUGAGGAUCGAACCCAGCGCCCCGCGCAUGCCAGGCGAGCGCGUUACCGCUUGAGCCACCUCCCCAGCCCAAAUGGCUGAAUAUUAACCCAUUGCGUGGCUGUGGCAUGUUUUAUCC
rnacentral:lncRNA from 1 species